rnacentral:lncRNA from 1 species
CCCGUCCGAAGCAGCGAUCGUCCCGGUCUUUAUCCUGAGCUUGGUCAGCAACAUCCACUCGUAUCCUUCUGUUUCCUAGAGACUCCUCAUUGAGGCUCAGCGCCUGGAACAAGGAGUCGAUGUCUUCGAACUCAGCAUAGCCAAAACCUUUCAACCUCUCGGGGUUGGUGGGCUCCCGUGGCAAGCGCACGGCACUGAUAUUGAGACCCCGAAAGAAAUCCUUGAUGGAGUCCUCGGUGACGUCGUAGGGCAGGUUGCCCAGGAAGGCCGUGUAGGGCGGGCACUUGGGCAGGCGGCUGCGGUCGAUGUUGGGCUCGCGUGCGGCGCGGGGGGCGGUGGGCAGCAGCGAGCGGUCGAUCAGCGGUGCCCGGUACACAUCAUCAUCAUUGCUGUGCCACGCGGUGGAGACCCUACCGUCGCCGUCCAGGUCAUCGGUCUCAUCGGCCCAGCUGACCGGCUUGGGGAUGUAGGUGGGUGCACCGCUGCCGCCAUCCUCCGCCAGGAAGUCGGUCAGGGUCAGGGUCUUCCCCUUCUUGUUCUUCUUCUUGGCUGCUGAGGCCGCCAUCUUGGCAAGAGGCAGAGAGAGGGCGAAAGGCCCGGAUGGAGCCGUCACGUGAUCGCCGGAGCCACGCCCAC